rnacentral:SRP_RNA from 1 species
CGCACUAGUCGGGGAGUUAGCGGUGCCCUCUGCCUGCAAUCCGCUUCGCAGGGAUGAAUUCCCACACCCGGACAAGGAGCUGCUUCGGACGCAAGUCCGGGGAAAUGGUCUUGUGCAAUAGAAAACCGUGAACCAUGUCAGGUGGGGAACCAAGCAGCAUUAAGCGGAUCUUUCUGUGUGCCACAAGGCAGCCGUUUCU